UUCCGGUUGAUCCCGCCGGACCCUAUGGCUAUCGGGGCGAGACUAAGCCAUGCAAGUUGCGCGAUCCCGAGCUAUGUUGGGAGAGCAGCGAACAGCUCAGUAACACGUAGUCAACCUGCCCUUAGGACGGAAAUAACUCCGGGAAACUGGGGCUAAUAUCCGAUAGAUGGAAACGCCUGGAAUGGUCUUCCGUUGAAAAGUUCUUGGGAACAUGCUUCUUUAGAAUGCCUAAAGAUGGGACUGCGACCGAUCAGGCAGUUGGUAGGGUAACGGCCUACCAAACCUAUAACCGGUACGGGCCCUGAGAGGGGGAGCCCGGAGAUGGGAACUGAGACAAGGUCCCAGGCCCUAAGGGGCGCAGCAGGCGCGAAACCUCCGCAAUGCGCGAAAGCGUGACGGGGUUACCCCGAGUGCCGUCCGAUGAGGAUGGCUUUUUCUUAGUGUAAAUAGCUAGGGGAAUAAAGGGGGGGCAAGACUGGUGUCAGCCGCCGCGGUAAUACCAGCCCCCUGAGUGAUAGGGACGAUUAUUUAGCCUAAAGCGUCCGUAGCCGGCUUAUUAAGUCUCUCGUUAAAUCUGGCGACUCAAUCGUCCAGGCCGCGGGAGAUACUGCUAGGCUAAAGGGCGGGAGAGGUUGACGGUAGUCCCGGAGUAGGGGUGAAAUCCUAUAAUCCCGGGAGGACCACCGGUGGCGAAGGCGGUCGGCUAAAACGCGCUCGACGGCGAUAGACGAAAGCUGGGGGAGCGAACUGGAUUAGAUACCCGGGUAGUCCCAUCUGUAAACUAUGCAGACUAUGUGUUGGGGGGGCUACGAGCCCCUUCAGUGCCGCAACGAAUGCAUUAAGCCCGCCGCCUGGGGAGUACGGCCUGCAAUGCUGAAACUCAAAGGAAUUGGCAGCGGGGAGCAGCGACACAGGGUGAAGCUGUCGAUCUAGCUAGGAUCAACGCUUGAA
rnacentral:rRNA from 1 species